GCUUUAGUAGUUGAAUAACAACGGCGGUUUUUCGGGUCGUAGGUUUUGGAUAUAGGCCAAACUAAAGUA
rnacentral:tRNA from 1 species